rnacentral:rRNA from 1 species
UGAAGUUAGGCUAGCAAACCUGCUGAAUUUAAGCAUAUAAGUAAGCGGAGGACAAGAAACUAAACAGGAUCCCCAUAGUAAUGGCGAAUGAACAGGGAUGAGCUCAGCAUGGAAAUUGGGGCCUGUGGCUUUGACUUGUAAUCUUGUGAGGCAUUGCCAACAGAGGCGCAGAUGUAAGUCUCUUGGAAAAGAGCAUCAAUGAGGGUGAGAGUCCUGCUUGUCAUUUGCAGCCCCCCUGUGCACGGUGUGCCUUCUAAGAGUCACGUUCCUCGGGAUUGGAGCGCAAAGUGGGUGGUAACUUUCAUCUGAAGCUAAACAAUGGUUUGGGACCGAUAGGAAACAAGUACCAUGAGGGAAAGGUGAAAAGGACUUUGGAAAGAGAGUUAAAAGUGCCUGAAAUUGCUGAAGGGGAAGCGAAUGGAACCAGUGGCGCUGGGUGAGAUUGUCACACGCUGCAGGGAUUGGUUGCUGCAUCAGCGCAAGCGAUCUAGCGACUGCUGAAUUGUAAGUGUGUGGUGUGUCUUGCCUUGUGUGUCAUUGUGGGUUUAUGCAUUAAGACAAUUCAAAGUGCAUGGCAAUAUGUUUCUGAAUCUAUGAAUGUGUUUUGUUAUGUUUAUGCAUAAGCUUCCUAUUCUAUGUCUGGCUGCAGUGCUUGCCGUCCCCAUUUUUUUGGAUAGAUGAGCUGAGCAUGUCCUUCUGCACAGAUCUUGGCUAAAUGGUUCUAUUCGACCCGUCUUGAAACACGGAACAAAGA